GCUUCCCCUAGAGGCUUUGCAGGGGUGGCUACUGCGAUAAACGUGUCCGUGGGUGGCAGAGAGGAGAGAGGCUACGUCUGUGCUCAGUGCUCUGACCUGUGAACAUCGGGAUGAUCAGUAGCCUAAUGCU
ensembl:snoRNA